ensembl:lncRNA
CUCUUAAAGACUCUUGGUCAAGAAGAGGAGACUUUCUGCAGUACCUCACUGGAGCAUUUAAAGGACUGAACACUAUACAGCAGUGAGACCUUUGCCUGGUCAUACACAGGAAAACAGUAUGACAAUCUAUUAAACAACUAGAGUACAAUGGGGAUAUCUUUAAAUUCAAAAGGGGAAAGAAUAUGGGAGCAGGUGACCUAGAUUUAUACAGCUGGAGGAGAGAGAACAUAGUAAAGCUACCUGAGCUCUUCAUACGUGAAAAAGUAUCGAAGCAGAUCUUUGACAGUAUUUGGAUGAAAGAAGAGACGGACAGAAGUCGUGGGAGAAUGAAAACUAAAGGUGUUGUGCUUUUUGCUUGUGUCAUCUUCAUGGUUUUCCUUAUAGUUGAAAUCGGGUGUGCUCCAAAGGGUAAAACCAUAGUGAGAAACUGGGGCCCACAAUCAAUUCUAUAUCUUAAAGGACGCUAUGGCAGGAGAUACACCUCUGAAAAGGAUGAACAGUAUUACAAGCUUAACCUGGAGGACUUCAGUGCAUUUUUUAAAAGUAAUUUCUGAAGAAAAGCAUGUAUAACUUGCAGGUGUAUUACCUAUAGCUAUGUCUCUGUUGAUUUCAAUCAUACCAAAAGCAAAACCCUUGAGGAGCCAGAUAUUUCUAACUCCAUGGAAUUUACAUUGCAGAGGUUCUGUUUCCUGGUUUGGUACACUGACUUAAAUUUAGGGAAAAGCAGAUGGAGGUCAGGAUUUUUCUAAGUGCUAAGAAUGAUUCUGUUCCUGCUGCCUUUUACAACUUGAGCUAAGCACACAGCACUUCCAU